CUUGAGGCAGUGAUGAUGAAAAUCUACCUAUUUUCUGAGGGAUUAAAUUCCCAAGUGUGAUUACAAAAAUUACCAAUGGAUCCUUCUGAGCCUCCCA